UUGGCUAAUAAUCUUUAGCAAAUCUUCAUGUACAGGCGAAAGAAGCAAGCCAACUUAUAGCAGUCACAACAAGGACAACAAUUGUGCACUGCGAUGAACUCAUUGUCACCACAACAAGCCCCUAUGAGCAAGCGGCAUGUGGUUCUAAAACUGAUUGGCGUGUGAGAGCAAUCUCAGCAAAGAAUCUAUAUCUUAGAGUCAAUCAUAUUUAUGUGAACACUGAGGACAUUAAGGAGACAGGCUAUACAUACAUCAUGGCCAAGAACAUUUUGAAGAAGUUUAUUUGCAUAGCAGAUCUUCGGACUCAAAUUGCAGGAUAUUUGUAUGGCAUAAGCCCCCCAGAUAACCCUCAAGUGAAGGAAAUCCACUGUAUUAGUUAUCAAUUAAAAUCAAUAUUUUUUAGCCAGCUCAUCAAAUUGAAGGUGUGCAUUGUAAUAAAUAUUAUAUAUUUUUUUAUUGUCUAGUAAUAUAAAUUUUGUUUAAUAUCCA